rnacentral:rRNA from 1 species
CCCGCUGAACUUAAGCAUAUUAUUAAGCGGAGGAAAAGAAACUAACAAGGAUGCCCUCAGUAACGGCGAGUGAAGCGGGCAAAGCUCAACCUGAAAAUCGGUUUUCCAAACGGGAUACCGAAUUGUGGGCUACAGACGUGUGAUCAGUGUGUGACCUGGGUAUAAGUGUUGUUGGAAAACGCUAUCAUAGAGGGUGAUAAUCCCGUCCGUGACCCGGAGUUCGCCGCGUACGAUCCAUGUUCGCAGAGUCGCGUUGUUUGGGAUUGCAGCGCUAAAUGGGUGGUAAAUUUCAUCUAAAGCUAAAUAUCGACGAGAGACCGAUAGCGAACAAGUACCGUGAGGGAAAGAUGAAAAGAACUUUGAAAAGAGAGUUAAAAAGUACUUGAAAUUGCUAAGAGGGAAGCACUGGAAACCAGUCGUGAUUAUAUGUAUUUUUAAUGUUUAGUGUGGGAAUUUGUUCGAGUCGAUGAGCCCAAAGCCAUCUCUAGUUCAAAUGAACAUACGAGCAUGUCGUGCAUGUAAUCGAGUCAGAAUCAAUUUGAUUUGUGUGAGAAAGCUAUCACAACGGUAGGCGCCGGGUAGCAAUAUCUGUGUGCUGUUUAGUGUGGUAGUGCUAACAUAGGUUAGAUUGAGGGACAAUCGAAAUGCGCACCACUAGGUUAGCCGGCCUCAUUCCCUGGUUGCUCAAGGAGAUUGGACAACAAAGUUGUGCGUUUCCUGAAGGCUUCUACUGGUUUGUGUCGCUGAGCAGCUGCAUUCGAGAUUCUGACGAAAUGGUUUUCAUUGACCCGUCUUGAAACACGG